CCGCACAAGCGUGAGCAUGUGUUUAAUUCGAUGCAACGCGAAGAACCUUACAUCCCUUGACAUCAUCAGAAUUUGUUAGAAAUAACUUAGUGGCUUCGGGAACUGGUUGACAGGUGGCUGCAUGGCUGUCGUCAGCUCGUGUCGUGAGAUGUUGGGUUAAGUCCCGCAACGAGCGCAACCCUUAUCUUUAGUUACAGCACAUUAUGGUGGGGACUCUAAAGAGACUGCCGGUGACAAGCCGGAGGAAGGUGGGGACGACGUCAAAGUCAUCAUGGCCUUACGGGAUGGGCUACACACGUGCUACAAUGGGCAGUACAGAUGGUCGCGAAACCGCGAGGUGGAGCUAAUCUAAGAAAGCUGUUCGUAGUCCGGAUUGGAGUCUGCAACUCGACUCCAUGAAGUUGGAAUCGCUAGUAAUCGCAGAUCAGAAUGCUGCGGUGAAUACGUUCCCGGGCCUUGUACACACCGCCCGUCACACCAUGGGAGUGGGUUGCAAAAGAAGUGGGUAGAC
rnacentral:rRNA from 1 species